rnacentral:rRNA from 1 species
AUUGAACGCUGGCGGCAGGCCUAACACAUGCAAGUCGAGCGAGCAGCAGACGGGUCAGUAAUGUCUGGGAAACUGCCUGAUGGAGGGGGAUAACUACUGGAAACAGUAGCUAAUACCGCAUAACAUCAGAUGUGCCAAGAUGGGCUUAGCUAGUAGGUGGGGUAACGGCUUACCAAGGCGACGAUCCCUAGCUGGGUUGAGAGGAUGACCGGCCACAAUGGAACGGAGACACGGUCCAGACUCCUACGGGAGGCAGCAGUGGGGAAGAUUGCACAAUGGGCGCAAGCCUGAUGCAGCCACGCCGCGUGUAUGAAGAAGGCCUUCGGGUUGUAAAGUACUUUCAGCGGGGAGGCGUUACCCGCAGAAGAAGCCCCGGCUAACUACGUGCCAGCCGCCGCGGUAAUAC